CAGCAGCCGCGGUAAUACCAGCACCUCGAGUGGUCCGGACGUUUAUUGGGCCUAAAGCAUCCGUAGCCGGCUCUGCAAGUCUUCGGUCAAAUCCACCUGCUCAACAGAUGGGCUGCUGGAGAUACUACAGAGCUAGGGAGUGGGAGAGGCAGACGGUAUUCAGUGGGUAGGGGUAAAAUCCUCUGAUCCAUUGAGGACCACCAGUGGCGAAGGCGGUCUGCCAGAACACGUUCGACGGUGAGGGAUGAAAGCUGGGGGAGCAAACCGGAUUAGAUACCCGGGUAGUCCCAGCUGUAAACGAUGCAAACUCGGUGAUGCAUUGGCUUAUGGCCAAUGCAGUGCCGCAGGGAAGCCGUUAAGUUUGCCGCCUGGGAAGUACGGACGCAAGUCUGAAACUUAAAGGAAUUGGCGGG
rnacentral:rRNA from 1 species